CAGAACAUGCAGAUAAACUUCCCAGUGUUUACCGACUUCUCUUGGACUUUCGCAUAUCCUCGCAAUAAUCGUCACAUGAAAACACAAGCUAGAAUUCAGAAAUGGGCCAAUAACAACUCCCUCAUCACAGGCUGGGCUAGAUUUCCAAAAGCGUCAGAUGCUGAACACAGCUUCUCCAGGAAAGGUGGUAAUUGACAAUAGGCCUCCAUGGAAGUCUUCCCAGCAUUUUCCGCAAAAAUUUAGAAAACAUUAGGUUUGACACCAUCAUCCUGUUUGCCAAGACAGCAAAAAUCCCAGCCGGCAAAACUUCGAGUGUGAUGAAGCGGAACAGUGAGGACAGCACAGAAUCACUGAGCAUUUCAGGAUGCCGUUAGCAAGGGUUUCCAGUGCGGGAGUUUUCCACCGCCUCGGAAGCAGAAGUAGCAGGGCGUGGCUCCUGUGGGGACAGCCAAGGUGAUGUAAUGAGGAUUUCCUCCUCUCUCCUGCCUUUCCUCUCCACCCUCAGGGGGUUCCUGGAGUUAAAAUUAUUUUUUAAAUAUUUUCAUUUAACAAUAAAAACUUUAAAAAAAUUAAUUAAGUUGAAAUUGCA